rnacentral:misc_RNA from 1 species
CGUCAAAUUGAAGAAGAAGAAGAACAAGAAGAAAAAGAUGAGACUGGGAACUGUAGCAAUGAAGAAGUAAAAAAUGAGCUUGAGAACUUUUGCAGUGAAGAAGAAAAAGAGGACAAGAAAGAAACAGGCAUUAUAGAUCAAUGUAAUGACAUACAAGUGAAUGAGAAUGGAAGAGACGAUGAAUAUGAUGAUGGUGUCAAUUAUUUCCAAAGUUGUAAUGGCAUUAUAGUGAAGGACAUCCUGUAUGAAGAUCAGAGAGUACCUUCUGCGGAGACCGGGAUUGGUGGAAAUCUGAGUGCAUUCAAGUGCUUGAAUAUUUACAACAGUGUGAGACCAGGCUCCAGUUGCAUAUUUGGGGUGCCACUACCAGCGAUGAGGCCUGUUCAUGGUUAGACAAGAAAAGGCUAGAGGAAAA